rnacentral:rRNA from 1 species
AAUCAACGCUGGCGGCGUGCCUAACACAUGCAAGUCGAACGCGAAAGCCCCGCAAGGGGCAAGUAGAGUGGCAAACGGGUGAGUAACACGUGGGCAACCUGCCUGUAAGACUGGGAUAACAUCGGGAAACCGGUGCUAAUACCGGAUAAUCCUUUUCCUCUCAUGAGGAAAAGCUGAAGGUCGGUUUCGGCUGACACUUACAGAUGGGCCCGCGGCGCAUUAGCUAGUUGGUGAGGUAACGGCUCACCAAGGCGACGAUGCGUAGCCGACCUGAGAGGGUGAUCGGCCACACGGGGACUGAGACACGGCCCGGACGCCUACGGGAGGCAGCAGUAGGGAAGCUUCCGCAAUGGACGAAAGUCUGACGGAGCAACGCCGCGUGGGCGAUGAAGGCCUUCGGGUCGUAAAGCUCUGUUGUUAGGGAAGAACAAGUAUCGGAGUAACUGCCGAUACCUUGACGGUACCUAACCAGAAAGCCACGGCUAACUACGUGCCAGCCGCCGCAGUAACAC